AAAGUCUUGGUGUAGAUAACACGUGAAGUUUACACCUUCAAGUGGUCUUUGGACAGGCUUUA
rnacentral:tRNA from 1 species